GACAGACUCCUGCUGAUUGGCGGAGCUUUGGGGUUUCUUCUGGAUUGAGCCACUACUGCUGAUUCCUGUUUUAUGUUUUGCUGGUGGACUGGACUGCAGACAACGAAGAUUGGAGUCACCCCAAGGAACUACUUCUAGACAGAUGAGAAGACUGAGUCCCAGACCAAGCUAUGAAGCACAACCCUUGCUGGAAGCUGCCAGAGAAGCACCAAGCAGAAUCCCUGGCCAGGCUACACCCAGAGAGGCCCAUGUUUCCAGAAUCACUUCCCUGAGGAAGCUUCCCAAAGGACCUCCUUUGACUUCUGUCUUAUCAUGGGGAAACAGUGGGGAAAACCAGUGCUGGCCACCCCAUCCCCAUCCUGCCCCCAGACAAAGAGAGCUUGGAAUGAAAUCCUCUCCCCAGGGAGUGUAGAAUGU
rnacentral:lncRNA from 1 species